UGCAAAAUCAGUUAUGUAUUU
rnacentral:piRNA from 1 species